UAUCCAUGGUGUGGGCAUAGUAGUAAAAGUGAUUUGAAGCGAUCUUAUGCUUCAUGAAAGAGUUCAAUAUCCUUUUGAUAAAAUUGGAAAUUUCAGUCUUUUGAUG
rfam:Ricinus communis cultivar Hale ctg_1100012362684, whole genome shotgun sequence.